rnacentral:snRNA from 11 species
AUACAGGAGGAGAGAUAACAUGAUGGGGAAGGUGGUUUUCUCAGGAUGAGGUUCAUUCUUUGCAAGCAGGCUGUGCUGGCCCCUGCAGUUUCCCUAAGUACAGGAAGCUCAACUGCAUAAUUCAUGGCAGUUUUUGUAAUGAAAACACAGAGA